CCAGGGAUGGGUUCAGCUGUCAUUUCUACUCAAGUUGGUGGGUUAUCCAGGGGAUUCCACUUCUGAGCAGGGCUGGCCUGCUGGGAACCAGGCCUAGGCCUUUGGAAGGUCUGUUGACCAGCCCAGGCCACCUCAUCAUGUGUGCUCAAUAAAUGCGACUGGAAAUUAUUAUAUUCAUGCUGCAGAUGAAGAAACCGAAGCCCAAAGAAUUCAAGGCUAUUCAACUAGGACAUUCCUACCCCAGAAGGAAGAAGUCAGCAUAGCAACUGAGAGAAACUAGCAGUAACUUCCUUUGUCCCAGGACAAGGAGGAAGGUGGCUGGAAUAGAAGGUCUCUUCCCACCUGCCCUCUGAAAUCCUGCUGCGGAUUCAGGGUUCCCCUGGGUCCUAGGCUCCCAGGAAGUUCAAACUGCUCUUGCUGGAGGGGAAUGACCACUUUCCAUGGAUUGGUAGGUAUGGCUUCUGAGGCUGGGUUUUAGAAAGGUGAAAUACAAGGGCCCAGGGGCCAAGAAUGGUGCUUGUACAAGGUGUCUCUACUCUGUAUCUUCAUUGCCUGGUUUUGAGAGAAACACUGCAUGCUAGUGGGCGGGGUGGAGUAAGGCCAAAGGGUUAGACUUGGUCCAUACCAGACUGUAUUUUUGUAUCCUGCCCAGGUCCAAAUCCUACUCGACACUAGUAGAACCAGUAAUUUUGGCCCUAAGGCUGCACAGUGGUCUUGCAAUGUUAAACUUGUGGGCUCGGUGCCUGGGCCAGGCAUUCUGCUUCUUGCCCUGUCACUGAGCAUUUUCUCACUCAAUAGCUGAUGAAGGAGUGAAUGGAUGAAGGAAGUAACUGGCUAUGACCUUGGGCAGGUUACUUCCCCUUUCUGAAUCUUGGUUUUGGGAGACCAAGACCCCAGGAAUAAAGCAAUGGCCAGGUGUGAAUGACACAUAGAUACCAUGAAGUUCUAGACCAGGGACCACACAGUAGCUGACACUUCAGUCCCUCUUCCCAUGGCUCCACACACCUGCUAUAUGCUAGCCAGCUCUGUGGCCCAUCCUACCCUACCUCUCCAGAACCUUGCUACCCUCUCUCUUGAAACAUGUCUCGUGCCCCCUAUGGACUUGGGCUGUUUGUGAACCCAAGGUCCCCUUUACUGAGCAUCUUGUGUUGAGAAUUUAAAUCAUUAUGUCACUUAACCCUCACAGUGUUCUUAUCUUCCAUGGGAUGCAGGGAAGUGAGGUCACCUGCCCAACAUGGUACAGAACUAAGUAGCAGAAUCAGGACUCCAGCCAGGUCCCUAAUCUACAGCAGGUGCUCCUGACCUUCCAGCUGAGGCUCCCUGGGGCUGGUGGCCUGCCCAGGAUGGGUAGUUUCCUUCACUGCAGUGAAGAGAGCACAGCAGUUAGAGAGGAAAGCCCUGUGUUCAAGUUCAAACUUUACCACUACUGGGUGUUAUCAUGACAUCAUAAUUGAGGAUCAGAAACAAUGGUGUGCUGGGUUAUGGUGUGCACACCUGUAAUUCCAGCACUUGGGAGGCUGAGGCAGGAGGAGAGAGAGGGUUCAAGGCCAGCCUGGUUACAUAGGGAGAUUGUCUUAAAAAAAAAAAAAUGUGUUCCAGGGGUAAUGCUGUCAGGAAAAAAAAAUAUGGUGUGUUCACCCACUUAGUUAAACUCUAAGUGCCCCUCAAAUGUUGGAUAUGAUUUUGUAAACUUUAUUUUUAGGCGAGGUCUUGCUGUGAAGCUCAGGCUAUCCUGGAACUUGCUAUGUUACCCAAGCUAUCCUCAAACUCUUAAUCCUGCCAUCUCCUGUGAUUAUAGGCAUGUGCCACCACACUCAGCUUUUUUUGUCUUUUGGUUUUUGAGACAGGGUCUUGCCAGGUAGCCUAAGCUGGCUCGAAUUCACGAUCCUCCUGCCUCAGCCUCCUGAGUGCUGGGAUUACAGCCAUGUGUCACCGUGCCCAUCUUUGAAUAUGAUUUUUAUUAGAGGUCUUCUACAGGCGCUGAUUUAACAUAAACAAAUGGCCAUAGGACUGGGGCUAUAGUGCAGUGGUAGAGUAUUUGCCCAACAUGUGUGAGGCCCUGGGUUCCACUCCAGCACCACGCACACACGCACACAC